GGGCACUCUAAUGAAGACUGCCGGGUGACAAACCGGAGGAAGGUGGGGAUGACGUCAAGUCCUCAUGGCCCUUAUGGGUAGGGCUUCACACGUCAUACAAUGGUCGGUACAGAGGGUUGCCAACCCGCGAGGGGGAGCUAAUCCCACAAAGCCGAUCGUAGUCCGGAUCGCAGUCUGCAACUCGACUGCGUGAAGUCGGAAUCGCUAGUAAUCGUGGAUCAGCAUGUCACGGUGAAUACGUUCCCGGGUCUU
rnacentral:rRNA from 1 species